GACGAACGCUGGCGGCGUGCUUAACACAUGCAAGUCGAGCGGUAAGGCCCUUUCGGGGGUACACGAGCGGCGAACGGGUGAGUAACACGUGGGUGACCUGCCCUCAGCUCUGGGAUAAGCCUGGGAAACCGGGUCUAAUACUGGAUAUGACUCCAUGACGCAUGUUGUGGGGUGGAAAGCCUUGUGCGGCUGAGGAUGGGCCCGCGGCCUAUCAGCUAGUUGGUAGGGUAACGGCCACCAAGGCGAAGACGGGUAGCUGGUCUUAGAGGAUGAUCAGCCACACGGGGACUGAGACACGGCCCCGACUCCUACGGGAGGCAGCAGUGGGGAAUAUUGGGCAAUGGGGGAAACCCGUGACCCAGCGACGCCGCGUGGGUGAUGAAGGCC
rnacentral:rRNA from 1 species